rnacentral:rRNA from 1 species
UUAGUCCCUAUCUGCCGUGGGCGUUGGAGAUUUGAGAGGAGCUGCUCCUAGUACGAGAAGGCCGGAGUGGACGAUCCUCUGGUGUUCCGGUUGUCACGCCAGUGGCAUUGC